CUAUUUAUCUUCAGAAAAGGAAAGGUCAACAGUAGGAAAUUAUUUCGUGAAGAGUUCAAAACUCUACCUUCAUUCAUUGAAAAGUAUUCUACCUCUUUCCUCUUGGCUUUAUUUUGUUUUUAAAUUGGGGGAAGGCGAAUCCUCCUUCCCUUGCGCCCCCCUCACCCCUUUUUAAAUACA